AGGACCAGAGUACAAGAUUAAGGAGAUUGAUGUUCCUCCAUGUUAUGUUAACCGUGGACCAAACAAAAUACCUUUCUUCUUCUGCCUCCUUGGGCACUGAGAUGUCACAGAUGCUGUAAAGGUUCAGGAGCUUGGAUAGGGCAUUGAUCUUUAAAACACUCUCAUCAUCACGGAGCAAACCAAACAAAUUAUCUCUCUUGUUUGUGAAGCCAAAUGGGGUAUUAACUGCUACAGGAUCAGAAAAUCAUUUCCAACAAAGACUAUUCAAAAGGAUAUUCACAGAUAAGUGGCGUUGCAUAUCAUAAUUCAAGUCUGCAUUUCAAGCUGAGGAAGAACUAAAGUAAGCUGGAAGAAUCUCUUCUUUAGGACCACUGAGAGUUUAAAGAGUCUCUGGAGACACAAGAUCAUAAAAUUAUUUCACAGUGA